rnacentral:rRNA from 1 species
UAGGGAAUAUUGCACAAUGGGGGAAACCCUGAUGCAGCGACGCCGCGUGAGUGAUGAAGGCCUUCGGGUCGUAAAGCUCUGUCGUAUGGGACUAACAAAAUGAAGGUACCAUGCAAGAAAGGAUCGGCUAACUUCGUGCCAGCAGCCGCGGUAAGACGAGGGAUCCUAGCGUUGUUCGGAAUUAUUGGGCGUAAAGCGGGUGUAGGCGGACUUAUAAGUCAGGUGUGAAAUCCCAGGGCUCAACCCUGGAAGUGCACUUGAUACUGCAAGUCUUGAGUGUGGUAGAGGCUAUUACAAUUCCUGGUGUAGUGGUGAAAUACGUAGAUAUCAGGAGGAAUACCGGAGGCGAAGGCGGAUAGCUGGGCCAACACUGACGCUGAGACCCGAAAGCGUGGGGAUCAAACAGGAUUAGAUACCCCCGUAGUCCCUGAGCGGGCUGGCAAGGCGCAU